rnacentral:rRNA from 1 species
AACGUAGGAGGCGAGCGUUAUCCGGAUUUACUGGGCGUAAAGCGCGCGCAGGCGGGUCUGUGAGUCGGACGUGAAAGCUCCUGGCUUAACUGGGAGAGGCCGUUCGAUACUGCAGGGCUUGAGGUUGGGAGAGGGGUGUGGAAUUCCCGGUGUAGUGGUGGAAUGCGUAGAUAUCGGGAGGAACACCUGUGGCGAAAGCGGCACCCUGGCCCACACCUGACGCUGAGGUGCGAAAGCGUGGGUAGCAAACAGG